rnacentral:rRNA from 1 species
UACACAUGCAGUCGAACGAGAGAAGAGAAGCUUGCUUUUCUGAUCUAGUGGCGGACGGGUGAGUAACACGUGAGCAAUCUGCCUUUCAGAGGGGGAUACCGAUUGGAAACGAUCGUUAAUACCGCAUAAUAUAAUUGAACCGCAUGAUUUGAUUAUCAAAGAUUUAUCGCUGAAAGAUGAGCUCGCGUCUGAUUAGCUAGUUGGUAAGGUAACGGCUUACCAAGGCGACGAUCAGUAGCCGGACUGAGAGGUUGAUCGGCCACAUUGGGACUGAGACACGGCCCAGACUCCUACGGGAGGCAGCAGUGGGGAAUAUUGCACAAUGGAGGAAACUCUGAUGCAGCGAUGCCGCGUGAGGGAAGAAGGUUUUAGGAUUGUAAACCUCUGUCUUCAGGGACGAAAAAAGACGGUACCUGAGGAGGAAGCUCCGGCUAACUACGUGCCAGCAGCCGCGGUAAUAUGUAGGGAGCGAGCGUUGUCCGGAAUUACUGGGUGUAAAGGGAGCGUAGGCGGGAUCGCAAGUCAGAUGUGAAAACUAUGGGCUUAACCCAUAAACUGCAUUUGAAACUGUGGUUCUUGAGUGAAGUAGAGGUAAGCGGAAUUCCUAGUGUAGCGGUGAAAUGCGUAGAUAUUAGGAGGAACAUCAGUGGCGAAGGCGGCUUACUGGGCUUUAACUGACGCUGAGGCUCGAAAGCGUGGGGAGCAAACAGGAUUAGAUACCCUGGUAGUCCACGCCGUAAACGAUGAUUACUAGGUGUGGGGGGACUGACCCCUUCCGUGCCGCAGCAAACGCAAUAAGUAAUCCACCUGGGGAGUACGACCGCAAGGUUGAAACUCAAAGGAAUUGACGGGGGCCCGCACAAGCAGUGGAGUAUGUGGAUUAAUUCGAAGCAACGCGAAGAACCUUACCAGGUCUUGACAUCGUAUGCAUAGCUCA